rnacentral:rRNA from 1 species
UUUUGUGGGGUGCUCGAGUGGCGAACGGGUGAGUAACACGUGAGUAACCUGCCCUUGACUUUGGGAUAACUUCAGGAAACUGGGGCUAAUACCGGAUAGGAGCUCCUGCUGCAUGGUGGGGGUUGGAAAGUUUCGGCGGUUGGGGAUGGACUCGCGGCUUAUCAGCUUGUUGGUGGGGUAGUGGCUUACCAAGGCUUUGACGGGUAGCCGGCCUGAGGGGGUGACCGGCCACAUUGGGACUGAGAUACGGCCCAG